rnacentral:rRNA from 1 species
CCACCGACACAGGUGGACUAGCAGAGUAUGCUGAGGCGCUUGAGAGAAGUAUGCUGAAGGAACUAGGCAAUUUGCCCUCGUAACUUCGGAAGAAGAGGGCCCAACCUACGCGCAAGCGUUGAUUGGGGGCACAGAGCAGGGGGUAGCGACUGUUUACUAAAAACACAGGACUCUGCGAAAUCCAAAGAUGACGUAUAGGGUCUGACGCCUGCCCGGUGCCGGAAGGUUAAGAGGAGAUGUGAAAGCGUCGAAUCGAAGCCCCGGUAAACGGCGGCCGUAACAAUAACGGUCCUAAGGUAGCGAAAUUCCUUGUCGGGUAAGUUCCGACCUGCACGAAAGGCGUAACGACUUCCCCACUGUCUCCAGCAUAUGCUCAGCGAAGUUGAAUUCCCCGUGAAGAUGCGGGGUACCCGCGGUCAGACGGAAAGACCCCGUGCACCUUUACUGCAGCUUUGCACUGGCAUUAGGGAUGGAUUGCGUAGGAUAGGUGGUAGGCUUUGAAGUCUAGGCUCUGGCUUGGAUGGAGCCACCCUUGAAAUACCACCCUGUUUGUUCCUGAUGUCUAACCGCGAUUCGAAACAGGGUCCGGAACCAUGCAUGGCGGGCAGUUUGACUGGGGCGGUCGCCUCCCAAAGAGUAACGGAGGCGCGCAAUGGUAAGCUCAGGCCGGUCGGAAAUCGGCUGUUGAGUGCAAUGGCACAAGCUUGCCUGACUGCAAGGCUGACAAGCCAAGCAGAGUCGAAAGACGGUCAUAGUGAUCCGGUGGUCCCGCGUGGAAGGGCCAUCGCUCAACGGAUAAAAGGUACGCCGGGGAUAACAGGCUGAUGAUCCCCAAGAGUCCAUAUCGACGGGAUCGUUUGGCACCUCGAUGUCGGCUCAUCACAUCCUGGGGCUGGAGCAGGUCCCAAGGGUAUGGCUGUUCGCCAUUUAAAGUGGUACGUGAGCUGGGUUUAGAACGUCGUGAGACAGUUCGGUCCCUAUCUGUCGUGGGUGUUCGAGACUUGAGAGGAUUUCUUCCUAGUACGAGAGGACCGGAAGGAACGCACCUCUGGUGGAUCGGUUGUCGCGCCAGCGGCACUGCCGAGUAGCUAUGUGCGGAAUAGAUAACCGCUGAAAGCAUCUAAGCGGGAAACUAACCUCAAAACCAGGUCUCGCUGAGAGCCGUGGAAGACUACCACGUUGAUAGGCUGGGCGUGUAAGCGCAGCAAUGCGUUGAGCUUACCAGUCCUAAUCGCUCAAA